rnacentral:misc_RNA from 1 species
GUGAGUCAUCGAAUCUUUGAACGCACAUUGCGCCCCUCGGUAUUCCGUGGGGCAUGCCUGUUCGAGCGUCAUUUACACCCUCAAGCUCUGCUUGGUGUUGGGCGCCUGUCCCGCUUUACGCGUGGACUCGCCCUAAAGUCAUUGGCAGCGGUCGUGCCAGCUUCUCGCGUAGCACAUUUGCGUUUCUUGAAGUUUGGUGGAUCAGCAUCCAGUAAGCUCUUUUAUGACUUGACCUCGGAUCAGGUAGGGAUACCCGCUGAACUUAAGCAUAUCAAUAAGCGGAGGA